UACGUAGGGUGCAAGCGUUAAUCGGAAUUACUGGGCGUAAAGCGUGCGCAGGCGGUUUUGUAAGUCAGAUGUGAAAUCCCCGGGCUUAACCUGGGAACUGCGUUUGAGACUGGAGAACUAGAGUUCGGGGAGAGGAUGGUGGAAUUCCCAGUGUAGAGGUGAAAUUCGUAGAUAUUGGGAAGAACACCAGUGGCGAAGGCGGCUAUCUGCCUGCAACUGACGCUGAGGCACGAAGGCUAGGGGAGCGAACAGG
rnacentral:rRNA from 1 species